rnacentral:rRNA from 1 species
GUGAGUAGUUCAGAGUUUGAUCCUGGCUCAGGACGAACGCUGGCGGCGUGCCUAACACAUGCAAGUCGAACGGAGUAUGACUUCGGUUAUACUUAGUGGCGAACGGGUGAGUAACGCGUGAGAAACCUGCCUUUCAGUGGGGGACAACAGUUGGAAACGACUGCUAAUACCGCAUAAUGUUUCGAGAGGGCAUCCUCUUGAAACCAAAGCUUUAUGUGCUGAAAGAUGGUCUCGCGUCUGAUUAGCUAGAUGGCGGGGUAACGGCCCACCAUGGCGACGAUCAGUAGCCGGUCUGAGAGGAUGAACGGCCACAUCGGGACUGAGAUACGGCCCAG